UACGUAGGUGGCAAGCGUUGUCCGGAAUUACUGGGUGUAAAGGGAGCGUAGGCGGGAGAUCAAGUUGGACGUUAAAUUCAUCGGCUCAACCGGUGCAAGCGUUCAAAACUGGUUUUCUUGAGUGGAGUAGAGGUAAGCGGAAUUCCUAGUGUAGCGGUGAAAUGCGUAGAUAUUAGGAGGAACACCAGUGGCGAAGGCGGUCUGCUGGACAGCAACUGACGCUGAGGCGCGAAAGCGUGGGGAGCAAACAGG
rnacentral:rRNA from 1 species